AUGCCAAUGAAUAUUGCAAAAGGCCAACAGGGUAUGUAUCUUGGAAAAUCAGAAAAAGGGGUAUACCUCGCAAUGAUGACACAUGAUACAGUACAUCGACUCCGGGUUUAUAAUCUUGUUGAAUCAAGCAAACAGAUCAACUGGGUGUUGAAGUAUGAUGUUGAUCUUGAGCCAUGGACAACGGAAUGGUUGGACAACCUCAAGGGGUUUGACAAAACUUGGAAGCUAGAUGAAGGAGAUGACGAUGUGGACGAGGGCGAAGAAGAAGAAGAAGAAGAAGAAGAAGAAGAAGAAGAAGAAGAAGAAGAAGAAGAAGAAGAAGAAGAAGAGGAGGAGGAAGAAGACGAAGAGGAAGAAGAAGAAGAAGAAGAAGGAGAAAAUCAAGGAAUGCUAAAGGGGGAUAAUCUGGAAUGGGACUCCGACUAUGAUAAUGUUCUGGAUCUUAAAGAUGGUAGGGGAGGCUUCUUUAGGCAUGUCGACUGCCUUGGCUUUCACCCGUACAACGAGGUUGUUUUCUUGGAUUUAUCAUUUAAAGUAGUGGCUUAUCAUUUGAAAACCUCGAUGGUUCAGAAUCUAGGCAACAUCCGCCCAAGUGAUUACCACCUUGCACACACAAAUGGCAUGUACGGAUUAUUUCCGUACACUCCUUGCAUGAUUGGGGAACUUCGAGAGCACGCUUCAAGGAGUCAUCGUGGACAUUAG
rnacentral:rRNA from 1 species